CCAGAAUGAAAAGCUCCCGUCAGGGCGCAUUGUAAUCUGGAGACGUGCCUCGUGCGGGGCGGCUGGACUCAAGUCUGCUGGAAAGCAGCAUCGUAGAGGGUGAAAAUCCCGUGCUUGGUCUGGCUCUGCACCGUGUUGUGGGGCGCGCUCGACGAGUCGCGUUGUUUGGGAAUGCAGCGCAAAGUAGGGUGGUAAACGCCAUCCAAGGCUAAAUAUGGGGGAGAGACCGAUAGCGAACAAGUACCGUGAGGGAAAGAUGAAAAGAACUUUGGAAAGAGAGUUAAACAGUACGUGAAAUUGCCAAAAGGGAAGCGUUGGCAGUCAGUACCGCAAGGUGUGCCCUGUCUCCUUUUCUUCCGGAAAGGAUUACGGGGCGCACGUGGGGCUCAUGUCGGUUUGCGGCGGGGGAGAAGUCUGUGGGGAAGGUGGCUCUUGCUUCGGCAGGAUGUGUUAUAGCCCUGCAGCGGAUACUCUGCCUUGCGGACC
rnacentral:rRNA from 1 species